AUGGAAUGUGGCUUUUUUAUUCCCCCCGUGUGAUUAACUUUGGCCGAGAAAUGUAUCCAAACAAACUCUUUAUUCUGUAAAAAUGUGUGUUUGCCGGACUGUGCUUGACAAAGGCCGCCCCGCGGUGAAGUGAUGCCCGGUGACGUCCUCCCCGCCGCCGCUCCGCCGUCUGCUCUGGAGGUCGUCAGCUUCCUCGGCAAAACCGUCGGCGCAGGCGCGGCACUGACAGCUGCCGUCUACCUACUCCGCAGAGUUUGCUUAAUAAUGGCCUGGAAAUCUGGGGGAGCCAGCCACGCAGAGCUCGUCAACAACCUCCGCAAGAAUGGCAUCAUUAAAUCCGACAAGGUCUACGAAGUCAUGCUGGCCACAGACCGAGCCCACUUCUCCAAGUGUAACCCCUACAUGGACUCGCCGCAGUCGAUAGGUUAUCAAGCGACCAUCAGCGCCCCACACAUGCAUGCCUACGCCCUGGAGCUGCUACAUGACCAGCUGUAUGAGGGGGCCAAAGCCCUGGAUGUCGGCUCCGGCAGCGGAAUCCUGUCUGUCUGCUUCGCACGCAUGGUAGGUCCUAAAGGGAAAGUUCUAGGAAUCGAUCACAUCCAGGAGCUGGUGGACGAUUCGAUAACCAACGUGAAGAAAGAUGACCCCAGUCUGAUAACGUCGGGCCGGAUCAAGCUGACAGUGGGAGACGGGCGGAUGGGCUUGAUGGAGGAGGCGCCGUACGACGCCAUCCACGUUGGCGCCGCAGCGCCCAACGUCCCCCAAGCCCUCUUGGACCAGCUGAAGCCCGGCGGUCGGCUCAUCCUGCCCGUCGGCCCGGCGGGGGGGAACCAGAUGCUGGAGCAGUACGACAAGUUGGAGGACGGCAGCACCAAAAUGAAGCCCUUGAUGGGGGUGAUUUAUGUGCCUUUAACAGACAGAGACAAGCAGUGGUCCAGGUGGAAGUGACUUCCUUCUCCUCCCCCCUCCUCCUCCUCCUCCCUCCCUCUCUCCUUCUCACAGUGUCAAAGGGAUGAACUUUGAAGAGGAACAGCCGCACCAUAAUCCACCUUUUAAGUUUGAACCCGGAGAAAAGCAAGAUGGGAGGGGGAGGGGAGGGGGGGGUGGGGGGUCAAACAACCCCUCGACGUGUUCAAAGCAAAAACAAAAACAUGCUCUUUUUGUUUGAGUCUAACGACGGACUAGAGUGCGACGCUGACGACGGUCCAGGAAGGCUGGGAAGGGGGAGGAGAGAGAGAGACUUGCUUGAAGCUCGGCGCAGAAAUAUUUGAAAAGGGCGUUUUGUUUUUUCAUUUCAGGUGUGAGGUCUUUUUUUUUUCUGGUUAUGUUUUCCUCUUUAACCGCUGGAUUAUAAUUUUUUUGUGGGGGUUGAUUUCAUCAUUUGAAUAGCGACCGUUUUUACAGUAUUACAUUUCAGCAGCAUCGAAGCUGAAUGUUGAAGGGAACUGCGCCGGACUGCGAGGAGGAAAAGCCUGAGACUUUUUAGAUAAUUUAAAUAGCUACAGUGUGCAUGUGUGUGUGUGUGCGCGCGUGAUUUCUUCCCCCUGCCAGCAGUAUUAAGAACACACUCACACACACACACACACAGACGCAGGCAACACAACACAACGGCUGAUGUAACCCACUUUAUCCUGUUUGAUGUGCAACACUCUUAAGGUCCUGCGACGCGAGUGGAUCGUACCGUACGUGACUCCGAAAGCGAGCGGAGCACUAAUAACACUUGACGCACAUACGCACACACACACACACACACACCGGGAUGAGCUUUCCACACGGUGAUGUGUCGCUUUCUGCCGCCGGUUUGCCGUUAACCAACUUCUGGUGACCGACACUAAACGGGGAGGGUCACAGCGCUUUUUGCCGAAAAAAACAUUCUCCAACGAUAUCAAAGCAAAUGAAUGUGUUUUUCUUGAAAGAAAGGAGAAAAAUAAAAUAAUACAUGAAAUCAAAA